GGAAGUCUUGCGCAGUGUCCUUGAUGGGCUGCACACGAUGCUCUUGGUGCCGGGCGUCGGCCUGGCAAGCACAGCACAGCAGCUCCUUGUCCUCCAGGCAGAAGAGCGUGAGCGGGGCACGGUGCGCACGGCAGGGGCGCGGGGACCGGCGACCGGUCCAGCGCGCGCCCUCAGCCUCCUCGCGCAGCAAGGUCUCCACCAGGUUGUUGAGCGUGUGGUUGGUGCGCAGCUCCCCGGGCACCGCUCGUUCCUUGCACACCGGACACGAGGGCGUCGUCUGCACCUCCCAGCAGCCGCUCACGCACCGGCGGCAGAAGUUGUGGCCACAGCGCAGAGUUACUGCGUCGCGGAACGGGUCGUAGCACACGGCACACAGCAGCUCCUCUUUGAAGGAGCGCGAAGGCCCCGGGGACACAGAAGGGCCCGGCUCCAUCGCAGGAGCAGCCGCCGUCACCACCACCGGUGUCGCCGCCUUCAUGCCUAGCCUGCGGGCGUUGUCCCUGCUGAAGAUCUGGGAGCUUAAGGCGGCUCCAACCAAUCACGGAUGGGCUUUGAGGGCGUGGACCCUCCCACUUCCGUCUUGCGCGGGGUCUCCCAGAGGAGGUGUGGUCCGCGAUCUCCGUUAGCUCCAAGGCGGAAGGAUCUGUCGUCCCACUGCAGUGUCGGGUUUCCGUUGUCAAAUAGGAAGUGAAGCCACGGGCCGCCAUCCUUAAGCAAUUCCCGCUAUCUCAGACUCCUGAACCACAGACGGGAUGGUUUAUAAAGAAUAGAGGUUCCAGAGGCAGGGAUAUUCAAGAACUGUGUGCCAGCCUUCCUGCUGCAUCUUGAUGCGAUAGAGAGAGUCACAUGCCCAGACAGACAAGCCUGCCUGCUCAGAUCUCACUUCUUCCUGUAAAGCCACUGGUGGUGUUUAUGGAAAGUCCAUGCUGGAAUAGAGCUAACAAGGACUGGGCUCUGCCCUCAUCGCCUCAUUUGAAGAACCUCCUUCUACAAGCCUCAUUUCAAUUAGCAACUCCAAUUUAAGGAUUGAGUUUCCAAGGCAUGGACUUUUGGGUGUCUGCUGAAACCCUGGCAAAGAAGGACGGCAUGCCUACCUCCCUUCUAGCCUCCCCUCCUCUUUCUCUCUCCUCCUUUCUGUUUAAAGCAGAGAUCAAGGAAUAAAAGCAAGGAUUGUUCUAUGGCAUGAAAAGGCAAGGCCUUACUAUGUGCUGUCUACCAGGAAUCCACUUUACCUGCAAGUGUUUAAGUAGCACAAACAAACAAAGAGAAAAGGCGAG
rnacentral:lncRNA from 1 species